UACGGGAGGCAGCAGUGGGGAAUAUUGCACAAUGGGCGAAAGCCUGAUGCAGCUAUGCCGCGUGUAUGAAGAAGGCCUUAGGGUUGUAAAGUACUUUCAUCGGGGAGGAAAAAACAAAACUAAUAAUUUUAUUUCUUGACGUUACCCGAAAAAGAAGCACCGGCUAACUCCGUGCCAGCAGCCGCGGUAAUACGGAGGGUGCUAGCGUUAAUCAGAAUUACUGGGCGUAAAGAGCACGUAGGUGGUUUUUUUAAAGUCAGAUGUGAAAUCCCUGGGCUUAACCUAGGAACUGCAUUUUGAAACUGAAAUACUAGAGUAUCGUAGAGGGAGGUAGAAUUCUAGGUGUAGCGGUGAAAUGCGUAGAUAUCUGGAGGAAUACCUGUGGCGAAAGCGGCCUCCUAAACGAAUACUGACACUGAGGUGCGAAAGCGUGGGAAGCAAACAGGGAUUAGAUACC
rnacentral:rRNA from 1 species